CUACGGGAUGCACCAGUGAGGAAUUUUGCGCAAUGGGGGCAACCCUGACGCAGCAACGCCGCGUGAGUGAAGAAGGCCCUUGGGUCGUAAAGCUCUGUCAAUGGGGAAGAAGUUACUUGGUAUUAAUAGUGCCUUGUAUUGACGGUACCCAUGAAGGAAGCACCGGCUAGCUCCGUGCCAGCAGCCGCGGUAAUACGGGGGGUGCAAGCGUUAUUCGGAAUUAUUGGGCGUAAAGGACACGCAGGCGGUCCUGUCAGUCAGAUGUGAAAGCCCAGGGCUCAACCCUGGACGUGCAUUUGAAACAGCAGGACUUGAGUACGGGAGAGGAAAGGGGAAUUCCUGGUGUAGAGGUGAAAUUCGUAGAUAUCAGGAGGAACACCGGUGGCGAAGGCGCCUUUCUGGACCGAUACUGACGCUGAGGUGCGAAGGCGUGGGUAGCGAACGGGAUUAGAUACCCUGGUAGUC
rnacentral:rRNA from 1 species